rnacentral:rRNA from 1 species
UAGGGAAUCUUCGGCAAUGGGGGCAACCCUGACCGAGCAACGCCGCGUGAGUGAAGAAGGUUUUCGGAUCGUAAAGCUCUGUUGUAAGAGAAGAACGUGUGUGAGAGUGGAAAGUUCACACAGUGACGGUAACUUACCAGAAAGGGACGGCUAACUACGUGCCAGCAGCCGCGGUAAUACGUAGGUCCUGAGCGUUGUCCGGAUUUAUUGGGCGUAAAGCGAGCGCAGGCGGUUUAAUAAGUCUGAAGUUAAAGGCAGUGGCUUAACCAUUGUUCGCUUUGGAAACUGUUAGACUUGAGUGCAGAAGGGGAGAGUGGAAUUCCAUGUGUAGCGGUGAAAUGCGUGGAUAUAUGGAGGAACACCGGUGGCGAAAGCGGCUCUCUGGUCUGUAACUGACGCUGAGGCUCGAAAGCGUGGGGAGCAAACAGG